rnacentral:rRNA from 1 species
UGGGGAAUUUUGGACAAUGGGCGAAAGCCUGAUCCAGCAAUGCCGCGUGUGUGAAGAAGGCCUUCGGGUUGUAAAGCACUUUUGUCCGGAAAGAAAUCCUUGGCUCUAAUACAGUCGGGGGAUGACGGUACCGGAAGAAUAAGCACCGGCUAACUACGUGCCAGCAGCCGCGGUAAUACGUAGGGUGCAAGCGUUAAUCGGAAUUACUGGGCGUAAAGCGUGCGCAGGCGGUUUGCUAAGACCGAUGUGAAAUCCCCGGGCUCAACCUGGGAACUGCAUUGGUGACUGGCAGGCUAGAGUAUGGCAGAGGGGGGUAGAAUUCCACGUGUAGCAGUGAAAUGCGUAGAGAUGUGGAGGAAUACCGAUGGCGAAGGCAGCCCCUGGGCCAAUACUGACGCUCAUGCACGAAAAGCGUGGGGAGCAAAACAGGAUUAGAUACCCUGGUAGUCCACGCCCUAAAACGAUGUCAACUAGUUGUUGGGGAUUCAUUUCCUUAGUAACGUAGCUAACGCGUGAAGUUGACCGCCUGGGGAGUACGGUCGCAAGAUUAAAACUUAAAUGAAUUGACGGGGUCAUAGCUGUUUCCU